AUACUUACCUGGCAGGGGAGAUACCAUGAUCACGAAGGUGGUUUUCCCAGGGCGAGGCUCAUCCAUUGCAUUCCGAAUGUGCUGACCCCUGCGAUUUCCCCAAAUGUGGGAAACGACUGCAUAAUCUGUGGCCAUGGGCGACUGCAUCCGCGCUUUCUCCUG
rnacentral:snRNA from 1 species